rnacentral:rRNA from 16 species
UUGUAGUAUCGUUGAAGAUGCCGAUUACCCGCAGCGGGACGAAAAGACCCCGUGAACCUUUACUAUAGCUUAGUAUUGACUUUGGAUAAGUAAUGUGUAGGAUAGGUGGGAGACUUUGAAGCGGCGUCGCUAGGCGUUGUGGAGUCAACCUUGAAAUACCACCCUUUGCUUAUCUAGAGCCUAACUCAGAGAUGAGGACAGUGCUUGGUGGGUAGUUUGACUGGGGUGGUCGCCUCCAAAAGAGUAACGGAGGCUUCUAAAGGUACCCUCAGCACGCUUGGUAACCGUGCGUAGAGUGCAAUGGCAUAAGGGUGCUUGACUGAGAGACCUACAAGUCGAUCAGGUUGGAAACAAGAGCAUAGUGAUCCGGUGGUUCCGCAUGGAAGGGCCAUCGCUCAAAGGAUAAAAGGUACUCCGGGGAUAACAGGCUGAUCUCCC